GCUCAAACUUCAAUGUUCACAUAGUUUAAGUUUACUAAACUUGUUCUUCUUCUUCUUUUUUAAGUGAUGAUAUUUUUUACUUAAUCUAUUAAUUUUUUUAUUUAUUUUGAUUAAAAUUUAGGAUUCUCUCAAUUGAGGUACUAACCCUACACCUCGUGAUCCUCAGCUAUUGAUUAAUUAUUCAAUCUAUGUAUCUCAUGAUCCUUAGCUAUUGAUUAAUUAUUCAAUCUACGUAUAUAAAGUUGUUCAGCCAACUCAACUAUACAUCCUAUGUAUUGGUC
rnacentral:lncRNA from 1 species